rnacentral:rRNA from 1 species
AUUGAACGCUGGCGGCAGGCCUAACACAUGCAAGUCGAACGAGUGGCGGACGGGUGAGUAAUGUCUGGGAAACUGCCCGAUGGAGGGGGGUAACUACUGGAAACGGUAGCUAAUACCGCAUACUCUCGGAUGUGCCCAGAUGGGAUUAGCUUGUAUGUGAGGUAACGGCUCACCCAGGCGACGAUGCCUAGCUGGUCUGAGAGGAUGACCAGCCACACUGGAACUGAGACACGGUCCAGACUCCUACGGGAGGCAGCAGUGGGGAAUAUUGCACAAUGGGCGAAAGCCUGAUGCAGCAAUGCCGCGUGUAUGAAGAAGGCCUUCGGGUUGUAAAGUACUUUCAGCGGGGAGGCGGUACCUGCAGAAGAAGCACCGGCUAACUCCGUGCCAGCAGCCGCGGUAAUAC